UACGGGGGGAGCAAGCGUUGUUCGGAUUUACUGGGCGUAAAGAGCGCGCAGGCGGUUAUUCAAGUCGAAUGUGAAAGCCCCCGGCUUAACUGGGGAGGGUCAUUCGAUACUGUUUAACUUGAAGGCAGGAGAGGGUAGUGGAAUUCCCGGUGUAGUGGUGAAAUGCGUAGAUAUCGGUAGGAACACCAGUGGCGAAGGCGGUUUCCUGGGGCAUUCUUGACGCUGAGGCGGCGAAAGCUGGGGGGAGCGAACGGGG
rnacentral:rRNA from 1 species